AUUGAAAACUUCGUAAUUAGUUGUUGAUGUUUGUAACUCCUACAAUUUAUUCUACUUCUGUAGUUUUAUAGGCAUAAAUUAAUCUAUCUAAUGUUAAAAAAGAGCCAUUGACUAACCAAGCACAAUAAUCAAAAUUAGAUACAAAUAGCAAGCUAACCUUUUUCCUUGCACCAUCGCCGCUCAUGCUUAAUCAUGCAGGUGCGACCAGCCGGCCGGUCGGCCAUACGCAGUGCAUGCGUGCAGCUCUGGAUCAUUACCCCUUCACACCUUUUAUCGAUCAAUUGUUUGCAACUUAAUCAGACGCUCAACGUUGCGGCGAUAUUGAUUGGCAGGCAAUCGCGGAACGUGCGUCAGUGCAUAUGCUAGAAGGACAUGGAGACCAGAUCACCGGGGAAAGGAGUUGCGGACUCCAUCGGCGACUCGACGCCGGCGCAUCACGAGUUCGCUUCUCCACCUGCGACUCGC
rnacentral:lncRNA from 1 species